UCUUCCUUGGAGAUGUAUAGGUCAGUUGAAAGGGAUUGCCUGGUAUCAGGGUGCCAUAACUAAGCGAUAACUUCAUAUGCAGUUUCUCUUGCAUGGUCAGUGUCUGUAAGCUCGGAGUAACUUAUUUCUGAAGAUAAACUCAAAGUGUUCAGAAAAGAGGGUCCUGGACUCCACUGCAUACCUAUCUGUUAGGAAGGACAUCAUGGUUUGCUUGUACAGUCUUCUCAGCUGUCAGUAUUCUGGGUUGGAAAAGAAGGAGGCAAUAUAUUUACUGCAGUUACAGUUGUAAUUAUAACCAUAUUUACCAAAACCACCUUUUCUGCUGCUUUUGCAUCAUUCGGAUACACUGUAAUACCCCACCUGGGAAGAUGUCCUGAGCCAGUCAAGAGCUUUUGGGUCAGGAUGAGCAGGCAGACCAACAUGGAUGAUAUUAUAGUGUGGGUCCUCAGACAACUGGAAGAAGGCUUACAUUUCCAGGUCCUCAUGGGGGACUUCAGCCACCCCAGUGUGUCUGCUGGAGAGAAAACACAGCAGGAGACAAGCAGUCCAGGGUGUUUCUGGAGUGCAUCUGUAACACCUUUCUGACACAGGUGAUUGAGAAGGUGACAAGGGGACUCUGCUGGACUUCAUACUUACAAACAAGGAAGGACUGGUUUGGGAUGUGAAGAUCAGGGCAGCUGUGGCUACAGUGACCAUGAGAUGGUGGCGUUCAGGAUCCUGCAAGAAGGGAGGAGGGCUAAAAGCAGGAUCACAACCCUGUCCUUCAGGAGAGCAGGCUUUGGCUUGUAAUGGGAUCUGUCUGGAAGAAUCCUAUGGGAUACAGUACCAAAGAGAAGAGAUGUCUGGGAAGAGCUGGUUCAUUUUCAAAAAUCUCCUUCAAGCUCCAGACUCAUGCAUCCUGACAAGCAAGAAGUCAAGCAACGGUGUCAGGAGGUCUGCACAGAUGAACAAGGAGCUGCUGACUAAACUCAAACAUAAAAAGGAAGAACACAAGCAGGGAAAACAGGGAUACAUGACCUAGGAGGAGUAUAAAGAGUCAGUGUCCAAGCAUGCAGGGAUGGAAUUAGCAAAAAGAAAACCAAUCUAAAGUCGAAUGUGAUGAGUGAUGUGAAGGGUGACAAUAAAGGCUUCUACAGGUACAUCAUGAGUGGAAGGAAAACUAGGGAAAAUGUGGGCCUGCUGCUGAAAGGGGCAGGAGACAUGGUGACAAAGGAUAUGGAAGAGGCUUAAGUAUUCA